rnacentral:lncRNA from 1 species
AUUUUAUCAAUUUUUUAUUGUUGGUUCCAAUUUUAUUGAUUUAGCUCUGAUUUUAAUUAUUUCUCAGUCUUAUAUUGCUUUUGGUAUUGAUUUAUUCUUCUGUUUCUAGGACUUUGAGGUGUAACCUUAGGUCACUUAUUUGUUGACUUCUUCUUCUUUUGAGGAAUGAACUCCAUGCAACAAACUUUCCUCUUUGGACUGCCUUUACAGUGUCCCAGAAAUUUCAAUAUGUUGUAUCAGUGUUCUCAUUUACCUCUAAGAAUUUUUUAAUCUCCUCUUUGAUGUCUUUUGUAAUCCAUUGUUCAUUCAAUAGCAUGUUACUUAGUCUCCAAGUUUGGGAGAAGCUUCUAUUUUUCAUUUUAUCAUGGAUUUCUCAUUUCAUUCCAUUAUAAUAUUAUAGAAUGCAGGGCAGUAUCUCUAUUUUUUUUUGUAUUUACUAUGAGUUGCUUUGUGGAAUAAUAUAUGGUCCAUUUUAGAGAAAGAUCUGUGUGUUUCUGAGAAGAAAGUAUAUUUUCUCAUUGAAGGAUGAAAUAUUCUAUAUAUGUAAGUUAAGUCUAUGUUAUUGAUUGUAUUAUUGAGUUCUAUAGUUUCUAUGUUUAGCUUUUGUUUGGAAGAUCUAUCCAGUGGUGAAAUAGGUAUGUUAAAGUCAUCCAGAUUUAUUAUGUUGUGGUCUAUUUGACUCUUGAAAUUGAGAAGAGUUUAUUUAAUGAAUAUAGAUGGUCCACUGUUUGAGACAUAUAUAUUUAAAAUUGUUAUGUCUUGUUGAUGUAUAGUUCCCUUAAGCAGUAUGAAAUGUCCUUCUUUAUCUCUUCUCAUUAAAUUUGGUUCGAAGUCUACUUUAUUUGAUAUGAGGAUGUAAAUACCUGCUUGCUUCUACAGUUCAUGUGAGUGGUAUGACUUUUCCCAACCUUUCACCUUCAGAAUUUUUCUAUGAGACAAGUCUUUCAAAGGCAAAUAUUGUUGGGUCUUUUUUUAAAAAAUACAACCUUCUAGUGGUGAUUUUAGACUAUUAACAUCAGGGUUAUUAUUGAGAUACGAUUUAUAUUCCAAGUCAUAUUUGUUUAUUUUUGGCAUUUAAUUUGACUUGGUUUCUCCUUUGAUUAUUAUUUCCUUUAGUGUAAUUACUCCCUUUGAUGAUUUCCAUUUUUGUUUUUUAUUUGCUCCCCAUGGAAUGUUUUAUUAAGGACGUUCCAUAGUGCAGGCUUUCUAGUUGUAAAUUAUUUUAACUUUUGUUUAUGAUGGUGUUUAUUUUGUUGUCAAAUCUAAAGUUUAAUUUUGCUGGAUGUAAGAUUCUUAGUUGCCAUCCAUUUUCUUUCAGAGAUUAAUGUAUGUUGUCCUAGGAUCUUCUGUUUUUUGGGGUCUGGGUUGAAAAAUCUGAAGAUAUCUUAAUAGGUUUCCCCCUAUAUAUAAUCUGAUUUGUUUCUCUUGUGGCUUUUAAUAGUCCUCUUAUUCUGUAUGCAAGGCAUUUCCCUUAUAGAGUGUCUUGGAGUGGGACUGGUGUGAUUUUGUGCAUUUGGCAUUCUGUAAGCCUUUUGUAUGUGGUUUUUCUAAUUCAUUCUUCAUGUUUGGAAAUUUUUUUGAUAUUAUUUUAUUGAAUAGAUUGUUCAUUCCUUUGGUUUGGAACUCUAUGCCUUCCUCUAUCCGAAUUAUUCUUAACUUCAGUCUUUCGUGCUAUCCCAUAUUUCUUGAAUAUUCUGCCCAUGGUUUCUUACCAUUUUACUGUGUGGUCAAAUUCUUUUCAAGAUUAUGUAUUUUGUUCAUUGUCUGAGGUCAUGUCUUCCCAGUGAUCUAAUCUGUUGGUGAUGUUUUCUAUUGAAUUUUUAAUUUGGUUUAUUGUUUCUUUCAUUUUAAGGAUUUCUGAUUCUUUCUUCCUUCCUUCCUUCCUUCCUUCCUUCCUUCCUUCCUUCUUUUUUCUCAGAAGCUCUAUCUGCUUAUUGAAGCAAUCUUUUGCUUCCUGAAUUUGCUCAUGUAGCUCUUUAUUGAAAUGAUCUUUUGCUGCCUCUAUUUGCUCUCUUACAUCAUCCUCUAAUUCACAGAACAUUUUAAUUAUGUACAUAAUGAACUCCUUCUCUGAAAUUUCUUCUGUUGUGCUGGCCAUGGAUUCUAAUAACUUAGUAUCUUUGUUUGUUGGGGGCACUUUUUUCCCUUGUUCUUUCAUGUUGUUCCUGUGUCUUCCCUUCUAGCACUGUGGAUCCGAGGCAUUACAGUGUAGUCUUAUAGCAUCCCUUUAGGUUUCCAAUACCACUCCUUCAAGGGGGAGAACAAGGUGAACAGAUCCCAAUACAAACAAUAUACAACCUUAAACCCUACACCUACUAUUAAGCCAUUUUCGGUUUUGUCUCAAUAUACAGAAAUGGUGUUCAAUUCUUAUCUACAAUAUAAACAGUAGGUUUGCAAAAGGGUCUACAGUUUCUGAUGUUGGACAAAGAACCAAGGGUGAGGUGUUGGAUGAGAUGUUGAUGGUGUAGGAGUUGAGGAUAUAGAGUUAAUAGAUCUUAGUGUGAAUGAGGAAUCUAAAGAAGUUGGUUAUUAGCAGAAGAGAGAAAGUGAUUUCAGAGAUACAAGUAAAUGGGAAGAUAAUAGAGUACAAAAAACAACCAAAGGUAAAUAUUAAGAAACAUAAAAAAUGUAAAAAUAGAAGAUAAAGUUAUAUUCAACACCACUGUAUUUUACUAUUCAAACAUCCCAGUCCUCAGUAGCCUAGUUCAUGAAAAGUACUUUGUUACACAAACAUUGGAAAUGUGAGGGCAGGAGGAGAGAGAGAGAGAGAGAGAGAGAGAAGAAAUGAAAGCAAAAUCUUGAAGGUAAAUAUAAGAAUUUUUGCUGUUGGAGAUCAGUAUCUUUCCAUCUUCCCUUCUCACCUAAUAGGUGGGGUGGUUUUCUGUGUGCUGGUACCACCAACCCCAGGAUGGUAAAGGUUAUUAGGAUGGGAGGGUUGGUCUUGGGGACCUGGUUGCUGGAGAUGGAGUAUAGUACUUGCUGGUCCCUGAUAGGAGAUUUCACUCCAAGUAUCUCUUUUGGGGCUCACUAGUUUGAUGUGGGCUUCUGGUCUUAUCUCCUUAUAUCACCUGUGGAUCUUGCAAUUAUUGAUUUCUAAUUUAGUCUCUAAACUGUAUCUCACUCCCCCACCCUUUCUACUUCCCAAUCAGGAACCUUUGUCUCCAGAGAUCUUGUGCACUGUGCUCUGGGAGCUGUGCACCUCUUGUGGGAGAGCUGUUUUAUAUUGAGCAGUUCAGACCUCUGUUUUGCGACCUGGUUUUGUGAUCUACACACUGACCAGAGACUGGUUGCCUAGCCACAGGCAAUGUGUCAGGUUAGCCUCUGUUGGGGAGAGAGGGAAUUUGGGGACUUUUGGUAACUUAAUGUUGUUUCUAAUCCCCAGCCAGUAUUCCAAGCUGGGGGAGUUGCAUGAACUAAUGAUGGGGAAGAAGGUGUCCAAAGGUGGAGGUGGCUGCUUUUAGCUAUAGGCUGUCGGGUGUGUGUGGGGGUGCUCUAGAGGUAGUUGAAAGAUGCAGCUCUGUGGUGUGAAAUAUUGUGGCUGGUGACCAUCACUAGACCUAGCACAGUGUCCCCAGGUGCAGGCUAACAUUUACAGAGGACUGUGGCAGUGGUUGCAGUGCCCCAAGGUGAAGGCAACUGGAGGAACACCACUGGUAGCUGGGGAUAGACACAGGAGUGGUAUCCAGAAUUCCUUUCAUGGGCUGCUGCCAGGUUUUCUGCUGUGGGAGCUUCAGCAAAGAGUCCUGCAUUGACAUUGAGGCUUGGACACCUGCUCAUAUGUGGCUGCCGAGAUUCCUGUGUGGAGUAGUUCUGGGGGUCCUCUAAUCACUUGCAGAGAAACAGUAUUCCCACUAUUUGAAUCCCGAAUCCAGAAGCGUCAACGGAAUGCAGCUUCCCUCUAUCUAGCCCACCCUGUUGGAUCCAUCUCCAGAGAGUUAGCUUUUAAUUGUAUGGUUUUACCAAAUUAUCUGGUCAAAUAUAUUUUUAAAUAACAGUGGAUUUUACAAAACAUAUUUAAGAAAAUAUGCUCAACUUGAAUAUUUCUGCACUGUCCAUAAAAGACAGUGCUAUGUUGAAAAGGAGUGAUUAGAGUGGACAUUUACCCUGUUUCUUAUCUUAGGGUGAAAAUGUUCAGGUUUUUGCUUUUGGGUUGAUAUUAGUUGUGGGUUUUUUACAGAUUCUCUUUAUCAGGUUGAGCUAAUUCUUCCACUAUAUAAGCCAAUGAGUAUGUGUUGAAUAUAUGCUGAAUAUAUUUUGGGGUUUGUCAAAUAGAUUAUUUUUCUUCAUUCAUUAAUGUGACCAUACAUAAUUUUUUCCUUAAAUUAUUGUUAUGAUAGAUUACUUUUUUUUCAAAAAAUUGAAACAGACUUACAUUCCCAAAAUAAAUUCCACUCAAUUUUUUUUAAAUUCUUUUCUUAGUGCACUAGAGCUGAUCCUAAUUAUGGGGUUUAUUUUAACAUAAUAAUACUAGCACGGAAUAUAAUUAGUUCAGCUUCAUUUCACUUUACCUCUCCUCCUUCCUCUCCCUGUUUCCUUCCCUUUACUCUAUUGGUCUUUCUUACAUUUAUCUGUCUAUCUAUCUAUCUAUCUAUUUCUUAAAUUAGUACUCUAUGCACACACACAAAGGUGAAACUCACCAUGGUACAUCCAUACAUGCACACAACACAACUUAGUCAAGCCUAUUCUCUCCUUUCCCAUUCCUCUCCUUUCCCAUUCUUUCUUCUUCCAUACCAGGGCUGUUCCUAUGCUCUAGUGACCUUCUUUCUACUUCAUGAGGUUCCCUCACCCCUGUCCUUUCCUCUUACGUUUAUCUAUCUUCUGAAUAAAAAAAAAAUGUUGACCCUUUACUUUCUGAUCCUGACUUAUUUCACUUAGCAUGAUGCUUUGCAAUUUAUCCAUUUUUAACCAAAUGCCAUAAUUUAUUUUUUCUUUAUGACUGAGUAAAUCUCCACUAUUUGUAUAUGUCACAUGUUCUUUAUACAUUCAUCUGUUGAUGGACCCCUGGGCUGGUUCCAUAACUUGGCUACUGUGAGUUGUACUUCCAAGAACACUGAUAUGUCUGCAGCACUCUAGUAUGUUAUAUUUAUUUCUUUGGGAUAAAUAUUGAAGAGUGACAUAGCUCUUUCACAAGAUAUUUCAUUCCUAGUUUUUUGAGGAAUCUCCAUACUGCCUUUCAGAGUGAUUGUACUAAUGUGCAGUCCUACUAACUGUAUAUGAGUAUACCCUUUCUCCUGCAACCUCAUCAGGAUCUAUUAUUAUAUGUAUUAUUAAUGAUUACCAUCUGAUUGGAGUGAGAUAAAAUCUAAAACAGUUUUUAUUUGCAUUUCCCUGAUUGCUAGAGAUGUUGAUCAUUUUUUCAUAGAGUUCUUUGUCAAUUGUAUUUCUUCUUUUGAGAAGAAUCUGUUUAGUUUUGUUCAUCUAUUAAUUAGGUUGUUGUUUUGUGUUUUCUGAGUUCCUUAUAUAUUUUGAAUAUUAAUCCCAUGCUAGAGGAGCAGGUGACAAAGAUAUUUUCCCAUUUUGUAGGCUUUCUCCUCAAGCUCAUGUUUCUUUUUCUGUGAAGAAGUUUAAUAAUUAGAUGCCAUCACACUUAUUGAUACUUGUUUUUAUAUCUUUUGUUUUAGGAAUUAUAUUAAGAAAGUCAAUCCCUGUGCCAAUAUGUUUAAGUAUUCAGCCUGUGUUUUCUUACAGCAGUUCCAAUGAUUCUGGUUUGAUUUUUAAAUCUUUUAUCAACUUCACGUUGACUCUUGUUCAGGGUGAGAGAUACGGGUCUAGUUUCAUUCUUUUACAUAAGGAUAUACAGUUUCCCCAGCACCAUUUGUUAAACAGGCUAUUUUUUUCUCCAAUGUAUGUUGUUUGCACAUUUGUUGUAAAUCAGAUAGCUAUCAAUGUAGAUUUAUAUCUUUCUUUUAUUGUAUUCCUUUGAUCUUGAUUUCAAUUUUCAUGUCAAUACCAUGCUGUUUUCGUUACUAUAGCUCUGAGGUAUAAUUUGGGAUCCUGUAUUGUGAUAACUCUAGCUUAACUCUUUUUGCUCAUGACUGCCUUGAAUAUUCUGGUUCUCUUUUAUUCUUCCAAAUAAACUCAGGACUUUUUUCCUGUUCUAUGAAGAAUGUCAUUGUAUUUUGAUGAUGAUUGCUUUAAAUCUGGAUAACACAUUUGGUAAUAUGAACAUUAAUUUUGCCUACCCAGAACAUAUUCUUUUCAUCUUCUAUAGGUCUUCUUCAAUUUCUUUCUUUAGUGUUUCAUAUUUUUCACUGUAGGUUCUUCACAUCUUAGUGAUAUUUAUCCUCAAUUUUUCUAUUUUUCUUUUUUAAGGCUAUUGUGAAUGGAAUCAUUUUUUUAAAAUUUCUUUCUCAACAUAUUUAUGAUUGGAGUAUAGAAAAGCAAUUGAUUUAUAUAUAUUGAUAUUGUAUCCUGCUAUUUUACUGAAUUUGUUUAUCACCUUUGAAAGCCUUUAGUGGAGUGAUUGGGUCUCCUAAAUAUGGGAUUAUGUCAUCAAAAAACAGAGUUUGACUUAUUUUCCUAAAUUUGUAUUCCUUUAAUUUCCUUAUCAUGCUUGAUUGCUCUUGCUAGACAUUCAAGAACUGUAUUGAAUAGUAAUGGUGAGAGUGGACAUCUUCAUCCUGUUCCUGAUUUUAGAGGAAAUGCUUUCAUAUAUUCUCCAUUCAGUAUAUUGUUGGCCUUUGUCUGUCAGAUAUAGUUUUUAUAAUGUUUAGGUCAGUUUCUUUAGGUGGUGUAUCAUUUUGCUUUGGCUGUUUUUAUGAUAGCUUUUCUUUAUCUUACAAAAUUUAAAAAUGAUAAAUCCUGAAAUCAAUAUUUUGGGUGCUUCCUGUUUUGGGUUUGCUCACCUUCUUGGAUCUGUGGAUUUUCUUCAUCAGAUAUGGAAAGUUUACAACCAACAUUAAACUCAACAUCUCCUAGCCUCAGUUCUUUCUCCAUUACUUCUAUAACAUUAACAUUGUAUAUUAUUUUGGGGGGUAAUUUUUGUUUGGAUAUUAUUCUCUCUGUAUUUUUGAUUGAAUGAAUUAUAUUAUUCUGUCCUUACAUAAACUGAUUUUAUCCUUUCUGCUCUAUUACUAAACCUAACCUAUAAUAUUUUUCCUAUUAUUUUGUUUUUCUAUUCUAUAAUUUCAAUUUGAUCUUUUGCAAUUUCUAUU